CCCGGGCGGGGGCACCUGACGGUGUUCAGAGUUCUUGGCUUCUGAUGCUGCUCUCGGCUUGUCACAGAUGCUUGUGCCCAGAUUUAGGAGGACAACCAGCCUUAUUCCAGCCGCUGGCCUGCAGCUCCCGCAGACAACUUACAGGAGGCUCUUGGGACAGGAAGAGGAAGGCACGUUCCCAUAUGAAAGCAAGCUUGGGAACAUGAUAGUGAUAAUGACAAUAGUGAUGAUUAUUGUAGCAGUCAUCCAUUCCACACGGAUUACCAUAUGUUACGUCCUUUGGAGCAGAAAUGGACAUUCAUUUCUUCAAUGCUGACAUCAACCCCAUCAGCAUUUGGUGCCGUGACUCGGAUCGGCAGGCAACUGACUCUUGGGCCACACACCCAGUUGAGUCUCCUAGCCGAUAACCAGAUAACAUCCUGGAUUAAUCCCGAGCUUUUUCCUCUCCCGAGACGUUCCUGUCGCCAGCGGCCUGCACUCCGCAUCGGCCAGACUGAUUUCAGGUGAGCACUCCCCCGGGAACUUUUCGCACUGGG
rnacentral:lncRNA from 1 species